rnacentral:rRNA from 1 species
GACGAACGCUGGCAGCGUGCCUAAUACAUGCAAGUAGAACGCACAGUUUAUACCGUAGCUUGCUACACCAUAGACUGUGAGUUGCGAACGGGUGAGUAACGCGUAGGUAGCCUGCCUGGUAGCGGGGGAUAACUAUUGGAAACGAUAGCUAAUACCGCAUAAUAUUAAUUAUUGCAUGAUAAUUAAUUGAAAGGUGCAAUUGCACCACUACCAGAUGGACCUGCGUUGUAUUAGCUAGUAGGUGAGGUAACGGCUCACCUAGGCGACGAUACAUAGCCGACCUGAGAGGGUGAUCGGCCACACUGGGACUGAGACACGGCCCAGACUCCUACGGGAGGCAGCAGUAGGGAAUCUUCGGCAAUGGACGAAAGUCUGACCGAGCAACGCCGCGUGAGUGAAGAAGGUUUUCGGAUCGUAAAGCUCUGUUGUAAGAGAAGAACGGGUGUGAGAGUGGAAAGUUCACACUGUGACGGUAUCUUACCAGAAAGGGACGGCUAACUACGUG